ACGGAAGGCAGCAGUGGGGGAUAUUGCACAAUGGGGGAAACCCUGAUGCAGCAACGCCGCGUGAGUGAUGAAGUAUUUCGGUAUGUAAAGCUCUAUCAGCAGGGAAGAGGAUGACGGUACCUGACUAAGGAGCACCGGCUAAAUACGUGCCAGCAGCCGCGGUAAUACGUAUGGUGCAAGCGUUAUCCGGAUUUACUGGGUGUAAAGGGAGCGCAGGCGGUCCUGCAAGCCAGAGGUGAAAACCCGGGGCUCAACCCCGCGGAUUGCCUUUGGAACUGUGGGACUUGAGUACUGGAGGGGCAGGCGGAAUUCCUGGUGUAGCGGUGAAAUGCGUAGAUAUCAGGAGGAACACCGGUGGCGAAGGCGGCCUGCUGGACAGAAACUGACGCUGAGGCUCGAAAGCGUGGGGAGCAAACAGGAUUAGAUACCCUGGUA
rnacentral:rRNA from 1 species